UUGAACAUUAAGGUUACCAAAUAUUGAUUUUCUAUAAAAAAAAUAAUAAUUAUUAGUUGUGGUAUAACUGUUAAUUAUAAAGAUGUCUAAUAGGCUUCUCUACAAUACAUAAUUAAAAAAAAAAGAUCUUUAUUAAUUAAAGAACUAUUAAGAAAUACUAAAAAAAAUGAGGCCUUAAAAAAAUAUAGGGCCUUAGUCAAUCGUCUUGUUCGCCUAUACUUAAAGCCACCCCUGGUAGGAGCAAUUAAACAGAUGCAGCUAUUAAAAAUAAAGAAUUACUUAUCUCGUCAAUAACUAACGAUAUUUUUUAUCUAUACUCAAUAGGCGUCUGAUCUAUAUUAUAAACUGUAAUAUUUGUAGAUUGUAACAAUUAAAAAAAAAAAAAAGCUCCCUAAGACGAAAUGACAAGAGGACUGUUUUGAAAUAGAUAGAUAAAGUAUGCCCUUAUUUGAGAAAAGGUAAAACACUAGGGAUCCAAAUGUUAUUAAAAUCCCAUGCAAAAAAUGCUAGAAAAAACUAAUAACUAACCGAAAAUCCCAGGCGUCAUAUUCCUUUUUACCGCGUUUUAAAAUGCACAACAAUGAUAUUCUCACGAAAGUGGGUACAAAGGUUUGUACAACCAGGGUCUCUUUGUAAAUUAUUUCAAAGUUUUGUGUUAUUUUUUAAAUUUAUGAAUUUUAUUAAUUUUGAUUGAUUGGAGCAUUUCUCCUUCCAUCUCUUCUACAUCUAUUUUUAAAUUUCUUUAAAAUUUUGACUAUAUCUUUAUAGAGUUCUAAAUGAUUAUCUUUUUCAUAAAAAUCUAUAAUUAAAUUAAUCCUUGAAUUUAUAAUCAUUUAUCUUCUUUGAGUCAUAGACCAAAUUUUUUCUUCUAACAUAACUAUGUAUACUCCUAAGCUAUCUUCGCAGCUUAAAUACAUUCUAUCAAAGCUUUCGCAUAUAAAUUGUAAUUUGAGAUCUGCAUCUUGAAUCAACAUCUCUAUAUUAUCCAUUGUUUUACGCUCGAUUUUGAGUUCUAUUAUUAGUCUUGCACCUGUCUUGGAUUAUUUCGAGGGUAGUUAAAAUUGAUUCUAUUAAUGCUAUCCUGUUUUCUUCUUCAAAAGAAUCAAAUAUUUCUGGAUUAUUAAUUUCUUUUAUUUCUUCAUACAAGCGUUCGUUUGCCGUUAAUCUUGUUUUAAUCAAGGAAGCUGUAUAAGCAACUUGAUAUUCUUGACAAAAGUCUAAAUGAUCUAUUGCAUCUAGAAAUUUAUUAAUAGAUCUUUCCAUUUUUAAGAAAUUGAGUUACUAUUAUCACUUCCAAUCUUUUAACAUCUCAGAAACAAACAAGGCCCAACAUGCUUCCGUUUGUAGCUAAAAUAAAAGAAGAGUUCAAAUCACUAACCAGUGUACUAUCUCUCAGAAUUCUGAGAUAGACUCAUUAAUUGCCUCUAACCACAGAGAGGUCCAUGGUCAGUACCACCAUAGUUCCACACAUCAUACAAGAUCACUUCAACGACUGUUCCACAUGGCCCAAUGCAACACACAGCAGACUGUCCUAAUAGGAUAUGUCUAAGUGAUUUUCUUGCAGUUGUCUCUAGAAGAGUGCUUAGUAAUAGAAAAUCUUCUUCGUUUAGUACAAGUAUUGGCAUGUAAGGUUCUUGGUUAAUUUUCAAAAGAUGUAUAAGAUAUCUGGAAGAUGAUAAUUUCACUCAAAAGAGUUUUAUUUAUUUCAUUAUUGAAAUUGUUUACAAAGGAAGGUUAUAGAGAAUAUAGAGGAAAUUGAAGGUUAGACAUUUGAUAUCUUUCCUUUCUUACAUGCUUUCAUUUAUAUAUCUCUCUAGAGAUAAGAUUAUCUCUUCAUAACACAUGUUCGAUCCUUAUGGUGGAAUCUCGAUUUCCUUUUGAUAAGGUGGCCCAAUCUUCAUCAUUGAAGCCAGUAGUUGUCUUCUUUUCAUGUUUGCAGACAACCUUUAUCUGGUUCUGGUGAGCUUUUUCUUUUUU
rnacentral:lncRNA from 1 species